CAGUCGCCGCGGGAAUACGUAGGGUGCGAGCGUUAAUCGGAAUUACUGGGCGUAAAGCGUGCGCAGGCGGUUAUGUAAGACAGUUGUGAAAUCCCCGGGCUCAACCUGGGAACUGCAUCUGUGACUGCAUAGCUAGAGUACGGUAGAGGGGGAUGGAAUUCCGCGUGUAGCAGUGAAAUGCGUAGAUAUGCGGAGGAACACCGAUGGCGAAGGCAAUCCCCUGGACCUGUACUGACGCUCAUGCACGAAAGCGUGGGGAGCAAACAGGAUUAGAUACCCCUGUAGUCCCUGUCUCUUAUAC
rnacentral:rRNA from 1 species